rnacentral:misc_RNA from 1 species
UUUUGCACUUUUUAUUAUUUGAUUUAUUUUUGUUUUUAUGCCCUGUGAAAUUUCUCUGCACUGGAUGAAAAUGCAUAAAUAGAGAUGGGCUUUUCGUUUUCAGCAAAGAAAUCUGUGGGAAGAAUUUGGUGUAUUUUGCAGAUGGCUUUAUUAGAUAAUAAAUUUGAGGUUGAUCUCAAGAAUUUCUGUUUGUUUAGCCACUCAUUAUAGCUGUAGUUGCGUG